rnacentral:rRNA from 1 species
GAUGAACGCUGACAGAAUGCUUAACACAUGCCAGUCAACUUGAAUUUGGGUUUUUAACUUCGGUUUGGGUGGCGGACGGGUGAGUAACGCGUAAAGAACUUGCCUCACAGCUAGGGACAACAUUUGGAAACGAAUGCUAAUACCUAAUAUUAUGAUAAUAGGGCAUCCUAUAAUUAUGAAAGCUAUAAGCGCUGUGAGAGAGCUUUGCGUCCCAUUAGCUAGUUGGAGAGGUAACGGCUCACCAAGGCGAUGAUGGGUAGCCGGCCUGAGAGGGUGAUCGGCCACAAGGGGACUGAGACACGGCCCUUACUCCUACGGGAGGCAGCAGUGGGGAAUAUUGGACAAUGGACCGAGAGUCUGAUCCAGCAAUUCUGUGUGCACGAUGAAGUUUUUCGGAAUGUAAAGUGCUUUCAGCUGGGAAGAAACAAAUGACGGUACCAACAGAAGAAGUGACGGCUAAAUACGUG